CCGUUGGUAACUGGUAAGGUUAUUUGAUCGGAGAAGAUGGGUACGGCGGAGCCCAAUUUGGAAGGACUUUUCGAGGAGAAGAAGCGCGUCAGGAACCCUCUUGUCCCUAUUGGUAUGAUCUUGUUCAUUAAGGUGCACUGAUGACAGCCGGGGUGCUAACGGCUGGCUUAAUAAGUUUCAGGCAAGGCAAUUCUCAGUUGGGUCAGCUACUCAUGAGAACUCGUGUGGUUGCACAAGGUGCCACAGUAGCACUGAUGGUUGGUACUGCU